UCACUGCAGGAUCAAAUCUAGUCUGUGGAAGCCACACUUGGAUCUGCACCAAACCCAUAUGCACCCAGAGGCUACCUCGCCGAGCUGUCUCUGAUAGGUCCUCAAUUCCUUCUCCUUCCCCAAAGAACUGCUGCAAGCAGGUCUACUGGAACCAGAUCCUUCAGAGCCAAGAGCUGCCGACAUAACAUUACAUCCUGGAUUCUGGAAUCUGUACACCUGAAGGAAUAAGAAUAAAAAGAUAUUGGCAGCCUGGAGCUCAAGAAUAUUACCAUGAAGGCUUGACAGAGGAUUGAGAAUUAAAGGACUAAUAAGCAGACUUAGGAAAAAAAAUUACUUCCUAGUAGGACUCUUUAUAAAACCGUGGGCUUUCUUCUGGUGCUGUCACAAUCCAUUCGACUGUCAAUAAAGAUUUCUUUUCAUAGUCUAAAUAUAUUAUUCCAGGAGGCUUGAAUAGCACAGUUAUGCUAUGCCUACAUUGUAGACUAAGGGGGUGAUUCCCCUGCUUGCACACACAUACUUUUGCCAGCUCUCAUCAAACUAGUGCAAAAAUAAAUAGCAGUGUAGCUGUAGCCGCUGAACCGUGCCUAGUACAAACCUGCCUGAAACCAGCGGGUAUGUACUUGGCACUGCUCAGCCAUGCCUCUGUUGCUGCUACCAGCACUACCACAGCUAGGCUGCUAUUUAUACUCGCGCUAGCUCAAUGACAGCCAGCACGAGUAUGUGUACCGGAGGAGGGCAUCCCCCCCCCUCCGCCCCAGCUCAUAAUGUUGCCAUAGCCUUAGUAUAAUCACGUCAAUAAAAAUCCCAUGUCUGCCCAAGAGAUGAUGGGAAGCAAGCUAGUAAAUAUUCAAGUUUAAACAACUCCUUCGACAUUUCACUUUGGCUCUAGGUCCCAAGAAAUGUGGUUUUGCAUAAAGAUAAGAAUGAUAUAUGUUGAUUUGUAUGCAGAGGGAUGUAGCACACUGAUCCUCAUAACUUUGCACAACAGAUUCUAAAUUUCAUUCAGAAAACCUGCUCUUCACUCACCU